CAAAGAAGAUACUGAAGAACCAACAGCAGGCAAAAAGAUUGGCCAAAAUGAGUAAUUAUCAACAUUUGCAACAUCCCAAGCAGCAAGUCAUUUGCUGUCUACUGAACAAUAGCAUCUGAAACAUGCAAAGCUAGGGCAUAUAACAUUUCAUUUAAAAUAAACCAUGGAGAUUUGACUAUCACAAUUCAUAAGUAACACAAGAAACAGAGUUAUUCAAAAAAUGACUAAAAUAGUUCAAAGAGCUGUCUAGAUAAUAGAAUCUAGAAAAAUAUUCAAAGCUUUCCUACUUUUAUGAAGUUACCCUUAAUCUAAAAUGUGGUUAAUAUCUUCACAGAAGAGUUUAGGAUCUUAGCAUAAAUGUUUUCAGAUGUUGUUUUUAAUUGAAAUCAAAGAUACCAGCACAUUUGGUAGGCAAGUAAAACAAAGGGGAGAGUACCUGUGAGGCUAUAAAGAAUGAAGG
rnacentral:misc_RNA from 1 species